GUCUCGGCAUUAUUGGGCGUAAGGGCUCGCAGGCGGCUUCCUUAAGUCUGAUGUGAAAGCCCCCCCUUAUCCUAAGGGGGAGGGUCAUUGGAAACUGGGGAACUUGAGUGCCUAAAAAAGGAGAGAUGGAAUUCCACGUGUAGCGGUGAAAUGCGUAGAGAUGUGGAGGAACACCAGUGGCGAAGGCGACUCUCUGGUCUGUAACUGACGCUGAGGAGCGAAAGCGUGGGGAGCGAACAGGAUUAGAUACCCUGGUAGUCCACGCCGUAAACGAUGAGUGCUAAGUGUUAGGGGGUUUCCGCCCCUUAGUGCUGCAGCUAACGCAUUAAGCACUCCGCCUGGGGAGUACGGUCGCAAGACUGAAACUCAAAGGAAUUGACGGGGGCCCGCACAAGCGGUGGAGCAUGUGGUUUAAUUCGAAGCAACGCGAAGAACCUUACCAGGUCUUGACAUCCUCUGACAAUCCUAGAGAUAGGACGUCCCCUUCAGGGGCACAGUGACAGGUGGUGCAUGGUUGUCGUCAGCUCGUGUCGUGAGAUGUUGGGUUAAGUCCCGCAACGAGCGCAACCCUUGAUCAUAUUUGCCAGCAUUCACUUGGGCACUCUAAGGUGACUGCCGGUGACAAACCGGAGGAAGGUGGGGAUGACGUCACAUCAUCCUGCCCCUUAUGACCUGGGGCUACAGACGUGCUACGGUGGACAAUACUGAGCGCAGCCCAACCGCUAGGUU
rnacentral:rRNA from 1 species